rnacentral:rRNA from 1 species
UACGUAUGGUGCGAACGUUGUUCGGAAUCACUGGGCAUAAAGAGCACGUAGGCGGUUAAGCAAGUCCAUUGUGAAAUCCCCCGGCCUAACCGGGGAACUGCAUUGGAUACUACUUGACUUGAGUGCAGGAGGGGAGAGUGGAAUUCCAGGUGUAGCGGUGAAAUGCGUAGAUAUCUGGAGGAACACCGGUGGCGAAGGCGGCGUUCUGGACUGCAACUGACACUGAUAAACGAAAGCCAGGGUAGCAAACGGG